rnacentral:rRNA from 1 species
GACGAACGCUGGCGGCGUGCUUAACACAUGCAAGUCGAGCGGGAACCCAGUCCCCUUCGGGGACGGGGACAGCGGCGAACGGGUGAGUAACACGUGGGUAAUCUGCCCUCGGUUCUGGGAUAGCCCGGGGAAACCCGGAUUAAUACCGGAUGGCCUCACGAGCCCUCGGGCACGUGAGAAAAGGUGCUUCGGCCUCCGACCGAGGAUGAGCCCGCGGCGGAUUAGCUUGUGGCGGGUAACGCCCACCAAGGCGACGAUCCGUAGCUGGUCUGAGAGGACGAUCAGCCACACUGGGACUGAGACACGGCCCAGA